rnacentral:rRNA from 1 species
CCCAGACUCCUACGGGAGGCAGCAGUGGGGAAUAUUGCACAAUGGGGGAAACCCUGAUGCAGCGACGCCGCGUGAGUGAAGAAGUAUUUCGGUAUGUAAAGCUCUAUCAGCAGGAAAGAAAAUGACGGUACCUGACUAAGAAGCCCCGGCUAACUACGUGCCAGCAGCCGCGGUAAUACGUAGGGGGCAAGCGUUAUCCGGAUUUACUGGGUGUAAAGGGAGCGUAGACGGUGAAGCAAGUCUGAAGUGAAAGGCGGGGGCUCAACCCCCGGACUGCUUUGGAAACUGUUUGACUGGAGUGCAGGAGAGGUAAGUGGAAUUCCUAGUGUAGCGGUGAAAUGCGUAGAUAUUAGGAGGAACACCAGUGGCGAAGGCGGCUUGCUGGACGAUGACUGGCGUUGAGGCUCGAAAGCGUGGGGAGCAAACAGGAUUAGAUACCCCCGUAA